rnacentral:rRNA from 1 species
AUUGAACGCUGGCGGCAGGCCUAACACAUGCAAGUCGAGCGGAGCGGCGGACGGGUGCGUAAUGCCUAGGAAUCUGCCUGGUAGUGGGGGAUAACGUCCGGAAACGGGCGCUAAUACCGCAUACUAUCAGAUGAGCCUAGGUCUGAUUAGCUAGUUGGUGGGGUAAAGGCCUACCAAGGCGACUAUCCGUAACUGGUCUGAGAGGAUGAUCAGUCACACUGGAACUGAGACACGUCCAGACGCCUACGGGAGGCAGCAGUGGGGAAUAUUGGGCAAUGGGCGAAAGCCUGAGCCAGCCAUGCCGCGUGUGUGAAGAAGGUCUUCAGAUUGUAAAGCACUUUAAGUUGGGAGGCGUUACCAACAGAAUAAGCGACGGCUAACUUCGGGCCAGCAGCCGCGGUAAUUC